rnacentral:rRNA from 1 species
AGGAAACAAGAGCAUAUGGUGGAUGCCUUGACUCUAAAAGGCGAUGAAGGACGUGGCUUGGCUGCGAUAAGCUUCGGGGAGGUGCCUAGCGACCUUUGAUCCGGAGAUCUCCGAAUGGGGAAACCUCAUCCACUGAAAGUGGAUGACUUCGAUUUAUUUCGAAGAGCGAACCCAGGGAAGUGAAACAUCUCAGUACCUGGAGGAACAGAAAACAAUGUCACCUAGUGACGACAUUCCCUAAGUAGCGGCGAGCGAAAAGGGAGGAGCCCAAACCCAUCACUUCGGUGGUGGGGGUUGUAAGGUAACAACGUAGUUUUACUAGAGAAGUCAAAAAAUACAAUGUUAGUUGAAGUUGUUGGAAAGCAACGCCAAAGGAGGUGAUAGCCCUGUAAGCGAAAACAUUGAAUCUUCUUUGUUGUUAUUCUUGAGUAUCUCAAGACACGAAUAGCUUGAGAGAAUCUGCCAGCACUAACUGGUAAGGCUAAAUACUUUUAGAGAUCGAUAGUGAACUAGUACCGUGAGGGAAAGGUGAAAAGUAGUCCGAUUAGGACAGUGAAAUAGACCUGAAACCAUAUGCUUACAAGUAGUGGGAGUGGGCAUCACAUUGCAUGUGAUGCCGAAUUAUGAAUAAAGAAUUAUGAAUUAUGGGGGAAAUUUGCUUCGCAAAUUUCCCAUUCCUGAUUCAUAUUUCAUGAUUCGGACAUCAUGCGUAGUGUGAUGUCCAUGACCGCGUGCCUAUUGAAGAAUGAGCCAACGAGUUUAUAUAUAUUGCUUAGCUAAACCAUACAGUGGUGGAGCUCUAGGGAAACCGAGUAUUAAUAGUGCGAAAUUUGUAGUAUGUAUAAGACCCGAAACCAAGUGAGCUUGCCAUGAGCAGGGUGAACCCCGCAGAAAUGUGGGAGGAGGCCCGAACCGGUUGGUCGUACAAUUCCAUCGGAUGACUUGUGGUAAGGAGUGAAAAGCUAAUCGAACUUGGUAAUAGCUGGUUCUCUCCGAAAUAGCUUUAGGGCUAGCGUCGUGUGUACCUUUUGGGGGUAGAGCACUGGAAGGUUUAAAUAGGGGGAAACCUCGUUAAACCUAUCAAACUCCGAAUACCAAAAGUAAAUUACGCGGCAGUUAGACUACGGGGGCUAAGCUCCGUUAGUCGAAAGGGAAACAGCCCAGAUCUCUAGAUAAGGUCCCUAAAUCUACACUAAGUGCAAACUAAGGAUGUGAAAUCUCAUAGACAAUCAGGAGGUUGGCUUAGAAGCAGCCACCCUUUAAAGAAAGCGUAACAGCUCACUGAUCAAGAGGUCUCGCGCCGAAAAUAAUCGGGGCUAAGUGUAGUACCGAAUCUGAGGAUUCAUGAUUACUUCGGUAAUUGUGAGUGGUAGGAGAGUAUUCCACUCCGCAUUGAAGCCAAAGGGGUGACCCAUGGUGGAGCGUGUGGAAGUAAGAAUGUUGGCACAAGUAACCGCAACGCGGGUGAGAUCCCCGCGCGCCGAAAGACUAAGGUUUCCUUGGCAAUGAUAAUCAACCAAGGGUUAGUCGGGCCUAAGGCAAUGGCGAAAGCCGCAGCCGAUGGACACAUGGUUAAUAUUCCAUGACUUCUAUAUUGUUCGAUGGGAGGACGGAGUUUAGUAUGUAUCGCGUAUUAUUGGAUUUACGUUCGUACUGUAGGGAGGAUGUGUAGGAAAAUCCGCACAUCAUUAACUCCGAGCAGCGCGAAAAUUCUUCACUUCGGUGAAGGAAAUGAUGCAAAGCAAGCUUCCAAGAAAAUUCUCUAAGGAUAACAAUACAGAAUCCGUACCGUAAACCAACACAGGUAGUCAGGUCGAGAAGACCAAGGCGAACGAGUGAGAGGUCCUCAAGGAACUCGGCAAAAAAGCAGCCGUAACUUCGGAAUAAGGCUUGCCCGAGCAUCUCACUGUCGUGAAAUGCGGAAUAAUGAAGCAUGAAGCAAGAAUAAUGAAAUUAAAAUUUGCGAAGCAAAUUUUUUAUAAUUCAUAAUUCGUUAUUCAUAAUUCUGCAACGAACGAGAGUGAGAUGCUUGGGCCGCAGCGAAAGUAUCCCUGGCGACUGUUUAUCAAAAACACAGCUCCCUGCGAACUAGUAAUAGGAUGUAUAGGGGGUGACGCCUGACCAAUGCCAGAAGGUUAAAUACGGGGGGUGCGUAUCUCAGUAUUCAUAAUUAUUGUGAACACUGAGAUGCGUGCUGAUCUGUAUAAGCCCUGGUGAAUGUCGGCCGUAACUAUAACGGUCCUAAGGUUUACUACGUUUACAAUUUGUAAGUGUAGUGAAGGACUGGGACUGUUAUUCAGUGAUAAACAGAUACGCAAGUUACCUUCCACACAGUAAUGUGUGAGUAGUCCAGUAACGAUUAAAUAGAGACCAACGUCGUUGCCCUACCUUGAAAAAGGAGGGAUAAGAUAGAGUCCAUGAUGUGUUUUAAGGAAUUCAUGAGCGAAAUUCCUUGUCUGGUAAGUUCAGACGUGCACGAAUGGCGUAACGACUGGGGAACUGUCUCGAGGACUUGCUCGGUGAAAAUACAAUGCCGGUAAAGAUGCCGGCUACCCACAGCUAGACGAAAAGACCCUAGAAGCUUUACUAUAGCUUGAUAUUGGUUAUGUUGUUUAACUGCGUAGAAUAGGCGGGAGACUUUGAAGGACAGUUUUUGGAUUGUCUGGAGUCGCCAGUGAAAUACCGCUCUUUUAGACGGCAUACCCUAAUCCUUACGGUAAAAACGUAAAGAGACAGUAUCUGGUAGGUAGUUUGUUUGGGGCGAAUCCCUCCUAAAGAGUAACGGAGGGGCCUAUUAAGGUCAGCUAGGCGCGAAUGGAAAUCGUGCCGAUAGUGUAAUGGCAUAAGCUGGCUUGACUGUAAGACGUACAUGUCGAGCAGGUGCGAAAGCAGAGCAUAGUGAACUGUUAGUACGCAUUAGAUGCGGCUAACAAUCAACGGAUAAAAGCUACUCUAGGGAUAACAGGCUAGUUCCGCCUAAGAGUUCAUAUCGACGGCGGAGUUCGGCACCUCGAUGUCGGCUCAACUUAUCCUGGGGCUGGAGAAGGUCCCAAGGGUUUGGCUGUUCGCCAAUUAAAAAGUUACGCGAGCUGGGUUCAAACCGUUCAGGAGCUAUAAUAAUGGCUUUUGAAUAGUUUGAAUCCCUUCGAGAUUUUUGUUUAUGCAAAAGAAAUAGGAACACAACCUUUCACGGCGGUCAUAAAGAGUAAUCUUUAUGUCUAAAGUUGACUUAUAUCGGUGAAACCCUGAUUAGAAUCCAGGGCAAUACCGAGGGAAUUCAUAUAUUUUUAUUAUAUGAGGCCCGUAGAGACUGAAUGUCAACCUCCUUUAUGUAUUAAAGGAUGAAGUUACAGUCCGUGCCAUGUAGUAAUACAUGGGAAAAUCAUGCGUGAGACAGGUUGGUCUCCUAUCUGCUGUGGGCGUUGAUUCUUGAGAAGAUCUGCUUCUAGUACGAGAGGACCGAAGUGGACUGACCUCUGGUGUAUCGGCUGUCGUGCCAACGGCAUUGCCGAGUAGCUAUGUUGGGAAUGGAUAACCUCUGAAAGCAUCUAAGAGGGAAGCCAACUUCAAGAUAAGGAAUCGUUGAGAAUCCUAGGAGAUGACUAGGUUGAUAGGCUCUAAGUGUACGCACAGUAAUGUGUUCAGCUGAGGAGUACUAAUUAUUCGAU